GGGAGAGGAGGAGUAGCAACAGAUCCAGGGCCUGCCCAGUCAGUGACACUGCACUCUGCUGCAGUUUGUAAGCAUCAGGACAGAUGCAGAAGAGAUGCCAUUUGGCUACCACACUACAGGAACCCAUCACGGAAGAAGUGUCCUGCACCCCAGAUCCGAUCUGGUUCACUGAAUAUGGAAUUACAUCCAUAAAAUUGAAAAAUAGAACAAAUAUAUGGUGUUGGGGGGUUGUUUUUGUGUGCUCCGGUCCGGGUGCUCCGUGACGCCGAAGCCGGCGCCUCGUAAUGACGUCAUCACUUGGAUGGAGCGGGACGCAACUGGCCGUGGGCGCCAUGGAUCACCAGACGGAGAUAAAUUGGGCUGGCAGAAGGUCCAUGGGCAUCCUAAUUGAGAUCUCCAGAUGACAAUCUCUGAAUAAAUAAUUUUCCACGAGACACAUGAUUUUCCUCCCUCCACCCAGCUGCCCACAUAACGGACAGGAUGAAAUCUGAGAGAGAAAACAGAUUUCCAAAAUUGACAGUGGCAGGGCUCAUCAUACUCCAGUUGGCUGCCUGUACUGCUUGUCAGUAAUCUAGCCUGCAACCACUCCAUCUACAGUAUGUGCAGCAUGCAGACCAUGGACUCAAUAUAGGAAUCAGUAGGCAUUCGGAAGAAGAGGGUCCUGCAAAAAGGAGAAAACUCCAUUUUAUGGGCACAUUUUCUAACCAUUGUUGCUAUAUUACAUGGACAACAAU